rnacentral:rRNA from 1 species
UACGUGGGGGGCAAGCGUUGUUCGGAAUUACUGGGCGUAAAGGGCUCGUAGGCGGCCAACUAAGUCAGACGUGAAAUCCCCAGGCUUAACCUGGGAACUGCGUCGGAUACUGGUUGGCUUGAAUUCGGGAGAGGGAUGCAGAAUUCCAGGUGUAGCGGUGAAAUGCGUAGAUAUCUGGAGGAAUACCGGUGGCGAAGGCGGCAUCCUGGACCGACAUUGACGCUGAGCGGCGAAAGCUAGGGGAGCAAACAGG